ACAGAGCUUUGCGUGCACUGAGCAGCAGCACAGUCCUUGAGGGGAAUGUGCCACCUGCAGGGAAAUGUUACAACUGUACGAACUGAUGUUCCUGUGCUUGAGACUCCAGCAUGAAGAAACUGCUAAUACAGCCAGCGCUAUGGUCUGAAAAAGCCCAAUGUGACUGCUAAGGAAUGCAUAUGCUCCCUUCUGUAGCACCACAUACUCCUGCAACUGCCUUUCCAUGUAGCUGGCUGCAAGGGCCAGGUGGCCAGUCCUGAGACUGAAACAUUGGACUAUGCCCACAGGACUUUGAGCUUUGAAGAAAGGCUGCUGUGUUUUUGUUUCUGUAAUAUCUGAGGCACGUUCAGCUAUCUCUUGCUCGCUGGAGUUGUGUUUUAACACAGAUGUGUUAGUACUCUUAACCAUUAAGAAACCAAGCGUUUUAAAGCCACGGGGGGGACCAUUUCUACUGAUGAUCGAUGAAACACUGCACGUUCUUCAAUGCUCUGCCUCGUCCGACCGCAGUGACCUCUGCCCAAGUGGAGGAACGCCUCUUGUCAAAGGUCGGCCUGGGUGCCUAAGUCACAUGCUAAGAUUUUACUAAGGGCAGUGAAUCAGCAAAAAUCCAACUCCCAUUUUUACAAGCUCAGAACCUACUUCUGGUGUGUGCCGUCCGGUGUCACGCGCAGUGUGCGCCACUCACUUUGUUGAGAAACUCUGAGGUGUGCAGAAACAGAGCACAUAUUAUUUCUGUAUCUAGGUACACCUUGACCCCUGCCAACCCAUUCCGACUUGAUGGCUUCUGUAUAUCUUCUAUAUAUAUCCUGUAUAUCUAAAGAAACAUUUGCCAAAGGAGCUCGGAUUAUUUUUCCAAGCUGAAGUUGAUGUCUUGAGCAGUCACAUGAGGAAACUUACUGCCCUUGAGAUGGCUGAUUUUCAGGUCUGUGCUUGACAUCUAAUAGUUAAGCUGUAAACAAUGCGAGAUCUUGCUCCAUUGUUUCAGAUGGGAUCUGAAACAGAGAUUGUCUUCAACAAUUUGAGGCUUGUGUGAGCAAACAAUACCCUGACUUUCGCCUGUGGGCAGCACGAAGAAUGCUUCUGCUUCACACCAACACAUAGCCAAGAGGAGACACAGCUGCCAAGUAAGGCUGUGCACGCUGUCAGCUAAGUUGAUGGAUCAGUCCCUGGGCAGCUGUGAUGUUUGUGUGCAAAAGGAUACUGAAAGAAAUAAUUUGGACUACCGGGCUCUUCCUCAAUACACCAAGAUCGUUCAUCUGUUGCCUUUGAAUGGCAAGGGCCAGGAUCUCCCUACUGCUUUGAACAGUUCAAUGAAUAAUGGCCAGGCGUGCAAUUAGCUGCUAGCUACUGAAAGUAAUAUGACAGAAAGUCGUGUGCAAAGCACUGCCAGAUGCAGAAAAUGAGCUUGCCAGUUAACAGAUGCAAACGUCAUUUGAUGUGAAGCCCAGACAGAGCGUGAUAAUGCUCUAAUACCAGGCUGCUUCCCAAGAAUGCCCGUAACUGCACUCCUGGAGGAUGAAAGAGGGCUUACCCCAAGCCAAAGGAAAACACAAUGGAAUAAAGUUAAAACACUGUGAUGGUAGUUUGAGACAGAGAAGCUUUGGUUAUAGCUAAACCUGAACUCUUUUAAGACAAGAGUGAGAGACGGGCCUUCUGUUUGCCCCCAAGACACUGUGAUGCAUGGUCUUUCAACCCAAUGUUUCCUCUUCCGGCCAAGCAAAUCUGCUGCUGUUAAUGUUGAUGUGCAUGUUUGUGUAACUUGUGAUUGAUCUAAAAAGCAGAAUUUACAACU
rnacentral:lncRNA from 7 species